rnacentral:miRNA from 1 species
CAUACAACCGACUGGCUUUCCCA